rfam:Actinomyces sp. oral taxon 848 str. F0332 genomic scaffold Scfld0, whole genome shotgun sequence.
AUUGCGCGACAGGGGAGCGCCACAAGGGCGCUGAGAGUGCGAAAGCAGACCCUCGAACCUGAUCCGGUUAGCACCGGCGAAGGAAGUCGAGCUCUCCCCGCC